ACAUCAAGUGAAGUGAAGUCCAGGGUGAUUCCAUGCAUGCGAUCCGCCUGCCACUGCCAGGGAUUGGAUACGGCAGAAAGUAAAACACGCGGAUCGCCUGUCGGCAAGCCUCCUCUUGUGGGUUGGGUCGGUCAAAAAUGUCUGCCCAAACCGUGCCCGUUGCUCCCUUGCCUUCUUAUCGUGUUGAUCCAAUAAUAAAGGUUACUUGUACUUGUUCCCAUUCCCAUGCCGCUAAUGCUACUAGUUAAUAAUCUUCGUUUACAUAUGCAUGAUGACGAGAGUAUUCCUUUGUGGAGGUCUUUUUGCGUGAAUGAUGAUAAUAACGGCCGGAAAAGUAGGUUUGCCCCGUGAGAAUGUCCAAGCGCACCGAUCCAUCAUUCCAUUUUUUCCCCUUUAUUAUAUGCAUACUCCCUCUAUACCAAAGUCAUUUUAGACAAAAUUUGAAUCAAACAUUAGAAAUAUAAAUCACGAAUAACUUUUAAGUUAUUAUAUUUGAAAAUAUAAAAACUAUAAGAAUAGAUUUGUUUUGAGAAAUAUUUUUAUAAAAAUUAUACAUAUACACUUUUUGAUAAAUAUUUUUUAUAAAAAUAAAGAGUCAAAGUUAUACUUUACAGACUGUAUCGCUAUUCUAAACGAUUUCCUCUAUAUCUAUAGAGGGACUACUAGCUAGUAUGGGGGCCGGCAAGGAUUUAGUGAAGGCCCCCAAUUCCAUUCUAGUUAUUGGUUCCCUCGGAUCAGAGUGAACGUUUGCAUAUUGUCUUCCUCCUACUAUUUCUCUCCUUUUUUUUUUUUUGGUCGCGACCGACGUGCUCUUUCUGGAAGUGAUAAGGUUCAUUUCAAGGCUGCGGUAUUUUUUCUCAGUACUGUAUAACUUUGAUUAAAGAUUUACAACAGAUAGUUUGUUUGGUUAGCUGACAAGUAAAUCAAGAGUUCUAUUAGAUUGGAACUCGUAUCGUAAGAUUGUAAAUCAUGGUGUCAUAAUUAUUAUAAUAAACUUUGCUUGGUAAAAAUAGUUAAAUCAAGCAAUAAACUAAGAUCGUGAAGUUGUAACUGUACAACAAAAUCAUGAUUUUUAACAACUAGCAACAUGUACCUUUACUCUACUCAUAAAAGAUCAUCUUAAAUCAUAGUUAAUAUAUAUACUACCCGCUAUUCAUGAAUUCCACCUAGAGGUACGAAGGAAAGAAGAGCGACCAGAGGUGGCAAAGGAAGCAAAAGCACAAGAGAGGUAAGGCCUUGUUUAGUUCAAAAUUUUUUAGAAAAUCGUCACUGUAGCAUUUUCGUUUGUAUUUAACGAAAAUUAUCUAAUCAUGGACUAACUAGGCUCAAAAGAUUCGUCUCGUCAAUUCCGACCAAACUGUGCAAUU
rnacentral:lncRNA from 1 species